rnacentral:rRNA from 1 species
CCUACGGGUGGCUGCAGUGGGGAAUAUUGGACAAUGGGCGAAAGCCUGAUCCAGCCAUGCCGCGUGUGUGAAGAAGGCCUUCGGGUUGUAAAGCACUUUCAGUGGGGAAGAAAGCCUUGGGGCUAAUACCCCCGAGGAAGGACAUCACCCACAGAAGAAGCACCGGCUAACUCCGUGCCAGCAGCCGCGGUAAUACGGAGGGUGCGAGCGUUAAUCGGAAUUACUGGGCGUAAAGCGCGCGUAGGCGGUCUGAUAAGCCGGUUGUGAAAGCCCUGGGCUCAACCUGGGAACGGCAUCCGGAACGGUCAGGCUAGAGUGCAGGAGAGGAAGGUAGAAUUCCCGGUGUAGCGGUGAAAUGCGUAGAGAUCGGGAGGAAUACCAGUGGCGAAGGCGGCCUUCUGGACUGACACUGACGCUGAGGUGCGAAAGCGUGGGUAGCAAACAGGAUUAGAUACCCUAGUAGUC